AGACCCGGCGCGGGUCUAGCGGCGAGGCUGCUCUCUAGCAGAGGGGCCGCGGAUUGGGUGGGCAAGGCUACCCGGCAGGGAGUCUCCAGCAAGAUACAUCUUUCUUUCUUUCGGAGAGGGGUCUCCUGGAGAAGUGGGAGGAGUCCUUCCAGAGAAGGUCCCUGGAGUUAGCAAAAGAGGAGGUGGAACCCCUGAAUGAUAACAGACUAUGCUCCCCACGCUAGCAUCUUUGGCAAACAGAACCCUAUACUCCUGCUGUCUUUGAUGGGAACAAUAAUACUACCUAUCAUAAGAUCAUUGUGAGGGUUAGAUGAGUGAAUACGCAUGAAGAAUAUAAAUGUGCAUGGGGGACUUCCCUGGUCCAGUGGAUGGGACUCUACAUAUCCACUGCAGGGGGCAGGGUUCAAUCCCUGGUCUCGGAACUAGGAGUUCUCAUGGCACAACUAAAGAGCCCACAUGCCUCAAGGAAGAUGGAAGAGCCUGCAUGCCACAACUAAGACCC
ensembl:lncRNA